GGGGAAGUAGCUCAAUGGUAGAGCAAAUACGAAUUAUCCAUUAUCUCAGGAUAUUAAUGUUUCAUGCGAAACAAGGUUCGAGGUUCGAAUCCUCGCUUCUCCA
rnacentral:tRNA from 1 species